rnacentral:rRNA from 1 species
UGGGGAAUAUUGCACAAUGGGCGCAAGCCUGAUGCAGCCAUGCCGCGUGUGUGAAGAAGGCCUUCGGGUUGUAAAGUACUUUCAGUCGGGAGGAAGGUGGUAAGGUUAAUAACCUUGGCAAUUGACGUGACAGACAGAAGAAGCACCGGCUAACUCCGUGCAAGCAGCCGCGGUAAUACGGAGGGUGCAAGCGUUAAUCGGAAUUACUGGGCGUAAAGCGCACGCAGGCGGUUGAUUGAGUCAGAUGUGAAAUCCCCGGGCUUAACCCGGGAAUUGCAUCUGAUACUGGUCAGCUUGAGUCUUGUAGAGGGGGGUAGAAUUCAAUGUGUAGCGGUGAAAUGCGUAGAGAUGUGGAAGAAUACCGGUGGCGAAGGCGGCCCCCUGGACAAAGACUGACGCUCAGGUGCGAAAGCGUGGGGAGCAAACCGG